rnacentral:rRNA from 1 species
UACGUAGGGUGCGAGCGUUGUCCGGAAUUACUGGGCGUAAAGAGCUCGUAGGUGGUUUGUCGCGUCGUCUGUGAAAUUCCGGGGCUUAACCUCGGGCGUGCAGGCGAUACGGGCAAUACUUGAGUGCUGUAGGGGAGACUGGAAUUCCUGGUGUAGCGGUGAAAUGCGCAGAUAUCAGGAGGAACACCGAUGGCGAAGGCAGGUCUCUGGGCAGUAACUGACGCUGAGGAGCGAAAGCAUGGGUAGCGAACCGGAUUAGAUACCCGGGUA